GUUCCUUAGAUUCCCCUCUCAGGUUUCAGCUGGACGCUGGUCCUUGGCUUCUUGGUGAUUUGGGCCGUUCUGUAUUAAACAACCAUCACCUCCGCCACAGAGUGAGGUUUUCAGCUUUGGGGAGACAGGGUUCCCAGGGAGCCAGUUUCAUAGGGUUGUCUGCAGCCCAGUAAAGUCAGCAUAAGCUCUGCUGCUGUGAGUAACAACACGUGAUACAGGAAAGAGGGGACAUCAGCUGGACACAGCCUUCAAGACCAGAUAGCUGGCUGUGACAGUGUUACCACCAAGUGGCACCUGAGGAACAUGCUGGCAUCACUCCUUUGGGAUGGAGGAGAAAAAGACCAGAUCCAACCCCAUGCCCAUCCGAGAAGGCCAACCAAUGUCUCCAAGAGCCCAGUGCCUCAGGGCAGAGCUCCCUGUCAUACAGCUAGAUGGCUUUGCCACUGGGAAAAGUGUGUACUCGCUCAGAGGCCCACAUCUGCAUAAUUAUUUUGUGCUUUUCCAGCCAAGGAAUAUCUUACCCUGGUCCCACAUCCUGUAACCUCUCUGCUCUCUCCACCAGCCUUACUAGAAAGUUCUACAGAGCUCCACUAUAUACACAAAA